AGAAUUGUUGAGAUCUUGCCUUCCUAGAGGUACAGUUCCGUUUCUCCAUUGUCAGAUCCAAUUUGAUGAGAUUUUAUUGGAUUCAAACUGGUGAUAUUUUGUUAGGAAGUUUUGCCUCUGUUCUUGAGAGCUAUUGUGUACUUGUUAUAAUAUCUCUACCUAGUUUUAGAAUUCCAGUGGGUGUCAUAGAAUGAGUUGGAAAGUAUAUGCUCUGUUUCUGUCCUCUGAAAGAAUUUUAGGGAAUAUGUGUAGUUCCUUCUUGGAAUAUUUGGUAGAAUAUGAUUGACACCUUGGUUAUGGACUGUUGAUUCAUUUUACUUAAUAGAUGCAAAGAUUUUAUAUUCCUAUAUAAAUUUUUACAGAUGAUGUCUUAAAAAUUGGCUUACUGUGUCAUAGGUUAUCACUAGUUUUUUUUUUUCUCUUUCAGGUUCAUAAGUUCAGUAGUGAUAUUUCCUCUUAACCUUCUGAUAUUAGCAAUUUGUGAUGCAUAACUUAGUCAUUUUGGCAAAAGACUAUAAAUUUUUUUAGAUCAAGAUAAUUCUGUUGCUUGAUUUCUUGUUUAUUUCACUAGUCUUUUAUGGCUUCAUUGUUUGGUUUCUGAUUGAGGUAAGGUAAAACGUGUGGUGCCAAUUGUACACCCGUCUGUUCUUGCAUAUGUGUUAAAGUUUGGGUAUAGGGCUGGAGAGAUGGCUCAGAGGUUGAAUGCACUCACUAUGCUUCCAAAGGUCCUGAGUUCAAUUCCCAGCAACCAUAUGGCAGCUCACAACCAUCUGUAAUGUGAUCUUGGCAACCUCUUCUGGAGUGUAGGCAGAACACUGUACAUAGUAAAUAAAUAAAUCUUUAAAGCUUGAGUGUAAAUAGUUAUAUUAAUUUAAUGUCACUGUGACCACAAUGCCUGACUUUUGGUGAGUAUUUGAAUGGUAUUUUUCCAUACAUUUAAUACCAGAACUCGUGAGAUAGAUAAAAUGACCCAACUAUCCUCAACAAUAUUUGUUAAAAAUAAGGUCCUGUUAAGUAAUAUAAAAUACUGUUAGAACACUGUGGCUGUUAAUGAUAGACCUUUAUUUUUAAGCACCAGCUUUAAUGUUAAUUUUUCAUUUAAAUAAGCUAAGGUGUUGGAGAGCCAGGCUCAUGUGAAUCCUUGCAGCUGGUAGACUCUUUACUGGACUGCCUGGAACAGGAGACUAUCAGCCCAACAACGAGCCAGGUGUAUGCUUUGAACACUCAUCAGAUGCUCUGAAGAAGCUGCGCUGCAACCAUAGCUGCUCUCUGCAGAAGCACAACUCCAGCUCUAGAAGAUACUAUUCCAUCCAUGACUGUGGCUUCUACUGGACCAACUUUAUGACCAUCAUAAGUCUCAGUGAAAUCCAGGCCACGGGAUCCCCUCCCCUGGUGGCACAUCCCAAAGCCUACGAAUGAUACUUACACAGUUCUCCACUUGUAUGAACUUGGCAUACUUUUCUUUUCCUGGUUCUAUAAUCAGACUGUUCAGUUCAUUUUUAAAGUAAGCUGGGGGAUAUCCUCUUGUGCUAUCUCUCACUGUUGCACAUUAAACCUAUUUACAGG
rnacentral:lncRNA from 1 species